rnacentral:misc_RNA from 1 species
GAUGAAGAACGUAGCGAAAUGCGAUAAGUAAUGUGAAUUGCAGAAUUCAGAGAAUCAUCGAAUCUUUGAACGCACCUUGCGCUCUUUGGUAUUCCGAAGAGCAUGCCUGUUUGAGUGUCAUGAAAAUAUCAACCUUGACUUGGGUUUUGUGCUCUAGUCUCGGCUUGGAAUUGGGUGCUUGCCGCUUUUACGAGCGGCUCACCUUAAAUGUAUUAGCUGGAUCUGUCUUUGAGACUUGGUUUGACUUGGCGUAAUAAGUAUUUCGCUAAGGACAUUCUUCGGAGUGGCCUCGUUUCUAGGACGCUUGUCCGCUUUCCAAUACAAGUUCCACCUCGUGGACAUGACUUUUUAUUAUCUGGCCUCAAAUCAGGUAGGACUACCCGCUGAACUUAAGCAUAUCAAUAAGCGGAGGA